rnacentral:rRNA from 1 species
CUCUNNNAGAUNAGCCAUGCAUGUCUAGUACAUGCCGUAUUAAGGCGAAACCGCGAAUGGCUCAUUAAAUCAGUUAUGGUUCCUUGGAUCGUACCUUACUACUUGGAUAACUGUGGCAAUUCUAGAGCUAAUACAUGCAGCAGAGCUCCGACCUUCGGGGACGAGCGCUUUUAUUAGACCAAAACCAAUCGGACCUCGUGUCCGUUCCAUGUGGUGACUCUGUAUAACUUUGGGCUGAUCGCACGGGCCCGUCCCGGCGACGUAUCUUUCAAGUGUCUGCCUUAUCAACUGUCGAUGGUAGGUUACGCGCCUACCAUGGUCGUAACGGGUGACGGGGAAUCAGGGUUCGAUUCCGGAGAGGGAGCCUGAGAAACGGCUACCACAUCCAAGGAAGGCAGCAGGCGCGCAAAUUACCCACUCCCAGAACGGGGAGGUAGUGACGAAAAAUAACAAUACGGGACUCUUUUGAGACCCCGUAAUUGGAAUGAGUACACUCUAAAUCCUUUAACGAGGAUCCAUUGGAGGGCAAGUCUGGUGCCAGCAGCCGCGGUAACUCCAGCUCCAAUAGCGUAUAUUAAAGUUGUUGCGGUUAAAAAGCUCGUAGUUGGAUCUCAGUUCCAGACGGGCGGUCCGCCUACCGGUGGUUACUGCCUGUUCUGAACAGCCAGCCGGUUUCUCUUGAUGAUCUUCACCGGUUGUCUUGGGUGACCGGCAAGUUUACUUUGAAAAAAUUAGAGUGCUCAAAGCAGGCGCGACGCCUGAAUAAUGGUGCAUGGAAUAAUGGAAUAGGACCUCGGUUCUAUUUUGUUGGUUUUCGGAACACGAGGUAAUGAUUAAGAGGGACAGACGGGGGCAUCCGUAUUGCGACGCUAGAGGUGAAAUUCUUGGACCGUCGCAAGACGAACAACUGCGAAGAUUUUUUUNCNCCAAGAAA